rnacentral:rRNA from 1 species
CCUACGGGAGGCUGCAGUGAGGAAUAUUGGUCAAUGGUCGGGAGACUGAACCAGCCAAGCCGCGUGAAGGAUGAAGGUACAGAGUAUCGUAAACCUCUUUUGUCAGGGAACAAAGUCGGGGACGUGUCCCCGGAUGAGUGUACCUGAAGAAAAAGCAUCGGCUAACUCCGUGCCAGCAGCCGCGGUAAUACGGAGGAUGCGAGCGUUAUCCGGAUGUAUUGGGUUUAAAGGGUGCUCAGGCGGUCUGUCAAGUCAGCGGUAAAAGCCCGGGGCUCAACCCCGUCCCGCCGUUGAAACUGGCAGUCUCGAGUGGGAGAGAAGUAUGCGGAAUGCGCGGUGUAGCGGUGAAAUGCAUAGAUAUCGCGCAGAACUCCGAUUGCGAAGGCAGCAUGCCGGCUCCAAACUGACGCUGAGGCACGAAAGCGUGGGUAUCGAACAGGAUUAGAUACCCGAGUAGUC